rnacentral:rRNA from 1 species
UACGGAGGGAGCUAGCGUUGUUCGGAAUUACUGGGCGUAAAGCGCGCGUAGGCGGCUUUGUAAGUUAGAGGUGAAAGCCCGGGGCUCAACCCCGGAACUGCCUUUGAUACUGACGAUCUGGAGAUCGGGAGAGGUUGGUGGAAUUCCGAGUGUAGAGGUGAAAUUCGUAGAUAUUCGGAGGAACACCAGAAGCGAAGGCGGCCAACUGGCCCGAUACUGACGCUGAGGCGCGAAAGCGUGGGGAGCAAACAGG